rnacentral:misc_RNA from 1 species
GCAGCUUAAGGUAUAUCAAGAUAGUUUCAUCAUCUUAAAUACAUUUGCUUGCUUGCUUGCUUUUUUAACGUUUUUCCAGUUUGUUUGCAAAACAAGUGUUUCUUAACUUGUUCAUAGAGUGUAUUUGCACAUAGGUGCAAGGAUUAAUCUAUCAGAUAUCGGCAUGCUACUUUAGUUUUUGAAAUUUGUUUUGAUGAAAUUAAUCCUGUAAGAACAGGUUCUUCUGUUGAUUUGAAGAGUUUCUGUUCAUCAUGGUUAGCCAUGGUCUUUUUUGGGUGAAAAAACAGUGGCUACACUGUUGUAUACAAAUCUUUGACAUUGAUUAAAAUAUUUAUGCUGGUUCUGCAGGAACAACAAAUGGUGAUGCCA